AUGGUUCUUUCGAAAUGGAUUCACACCAGGACUCUGACAGAAUUUCAGAACUAGCUUCAAACAAUUCGAACGAGUUGCCCCCACUACCAGAGGGUUCUCCACCAUUGCCUAUUGAUUCUCCUCCUCCACCCCCACCUUUGCCUCCUUCACCGCCCCCACCACCACCUCCUCCAUUAUCUCCAUCACCUCCACCGCCUCCACCUCCUUUUCCGUCACAGCUGCCCCCACUUCCUCCACCACCUGCAGGGCCACCUCCACCUACAGGCCCUCCUCCACCUGCAGGGCCUCCUCCACCUACAGUCCAUCCACCACCUAUGGGGCCUCCACCAUCUACGGGUCCUCCACCACCUAUGGGGCCUCCACCAUCUACGGGUCCUCCACCACCUAUGGGGCCUCCACCUCCAAUGGGCCCUCCACCUAGGGGUCCUCCACCGCUUAUGGGUCCUCCACCACCGACGGGGCCUCCACCACCCACAGGCCCUCCACCACCAAGGGGUCCACCACCUAUUGGGCCUCCACCACCUGCAGGGCCCCCACUACCUCCAGGCCCUCCACCCCCUCCUGGUCCCCCACCCCCUGCAAGCCAGCACCUACCUACAGGUCCUCCACCAUCACUGCUUUCUCAACCACCACUACCUCCUACACCGCAACUGCCACCUCCACCACAGUUACCACCUCCACCGCAACUACAACCUCAACCGCAACUACCACCUCAACCUCCAUUACUGCCAC
rnacentral:lncRNA from 1 species